rnacentral:rRNA from 1 species
AUUGAACGCUGGCGGCAGGCCUAACACAUGCAAGUCGAGCGCGAAAGUCUUCGGAUGAGUGAAGCGGCGGACGGGUGAGUAAUGCAUGGGAAUCUGCCUGGUAGUGGGGGACAACGUUUCGAAAGAGACGCUAAUACCGCAUACGCCCUACGGGGGAAAGGGGGGGAUCUUCGGACCUCUCGCUAUCAGAUGAGCCCAUGUCAGAUUAGCUAGUUGGUAGGGUAAAGGCCUACCAAGGCGACGAUCUGUAACUGGUCUGAGAGGAUGAUCAGUCACACUGGAACUGAGACACGGUCCAGACUCCUACGGGAGGCAGCAGUGGGGAAUAUUGGACAAUGGGGGAAACCCUGAUCCAGCCAUGCCGCGUGUGUGAAGAAGGCCCUAGGGUUGUAAAGCACUUUCAGUGGGGAGGAAGGUUAUUCACCUAAUACGUGAGUAAAUUGAUGCUACCCACAGAAGAAGCACCGGCUAACUCCGUGCCAGCAGCCGCGGUAA